rnacentral:rRNA from 1 species
CAUAUUGCACAAUGGGGGAAACCCUGAUGCAGCAACGCCGCGUGAGCGAUGAAGGCCUUCGGGUAGUAAAGCUCUGUCCUAAGGGAAGAUAAUGACGGUACCUUAGGAGGAAGACCUGGCUAACUACGUGCCAGCAGCCGCGGUAAUACGUAGGGGGCACGCGUUAUCUGGAAUCAUUGGGCGUAAAGGGUGCGUAGGCUGCCGUAUAGGUCAGAGGUCAAAGGCUACGGCUCAACCGUAGUAAGCCUUUGAAACUGUAGGGCUUGAGUGCAGGAGAGGAGAGUGGAAUUCCUAGUGUAGCGGUGAAAUGCGUAGAUAUUAGGAGGAACACCAGUGGCGAAGGCGACUCUCUGGACUGCAACUGACGCUGAGGCACGAAAGCGUGGGUAGCGAACA